rnacentral:rRNA from 1 species
CCUGUUUAUCAAAAACAUUCUUAAUUAUUAAAAUUAAAUAGGCCCUGCUCGGUGUUUAAUUAACAGCCGCAGUAUUUUGACUGUGCUAAGGUAGCAUAAUAAUUUGGCCUUUUAUUAAGGUCUAGAACAAACGGGUUGACGACUUUUGGACUAUUUGAUUCAAUUAAAGAAUUUUAUAUUUAAGUAAAAAAGCUUAGCUUUUUAGAGGGACGAUAAGACCCUAUAAAAUUUUAUCAUUUUAAAUCUUUAAGAGGUAAAUAAGGAAUUUAUGAUUAAGCUGGGGCGGCAAUAAAAAUUCUUUUAUAAAAAAAAACAAAAUAAAUGAACAGUAAGAUCUUUUGUGUUUUUAGAUUAAAUUACUUUAGGGAUAACAGCGCAAUUUUCUCAAAGAGAUCUUAUUGACGAGAAAGACUUGCGACCUCGAUGUUGAAUUGGGGGGCCUAAAUUAAGCAAAAAUAAUUUCAGGAAGUCUGUUCGCCUUUUAAAUCCUCACGUGAUCUGAGUGCAGACC